AACGAACGCUGGCGGCAGGCUUAACACAUGCAAGUCGAGCGCCCCGCAAGGGGAGCGGCAGACGGGUGAGUAACGCGUGGGAAUCUACCCAGUUCUACGGAAUAACCCAGGGAAACUUGGGCUAAUACCGUAUACGCCCUACGGGGGAAAGAUUUAUCGGAAUUGGAUGAGCCCGCGUUGGAUUAGCUAGUUGGUGGGGUAAUGGCCUACCAAGGCGACGAUCCAUAGCUGGUCUGAGAGGAUGAUCAGCCACACUGGGACUGAGACACGGCCCAGACUCCUACGGGAGGCAGCAGUGGGGAAUAUUGGACAAUGGGCGAAAGCCUGAUCCAGCCAUGCCGCGUGAGUGAUGAAGGCCUUAGGGUUGUAAAGCUCUUUCAGUGGGGACGAUAAUGACGGUACCCACAGAAGAAGCCCCGGCUAACUUCGUGCCAGCAGCCGCCGUAAUAC
rnacentral:rRNA from 1 species